rnacentral:tRNA from 1 species
AGCUUUAUAUUCAAAGAUGAUUUUAGAUUGCAAAUUUAAAGGUGAGUAAACUCUAAAGCUU